rnacentral:rRNA from 1 species
CCUACGGGGGGCAGCAGUGAGGAAUAUUGGUCAAUGGGCGUAAGCCUGAACCAGCCAUCCCGCGUGAAGGAAGAAGGCGCUAUGCGUCGUAAACUUCUUUUCCAGAGGAAUAAAAUUUCGUACGUGUACGGAACUGCAGGUACUUUGGGAAUAAGCAUCGGCUAACUCCGUGCCAGCAGCCGCGGUAAUACGGAGGAUGCGAGCGUUAUCCGGAUUUAUUGGGGUUUAGGCGUACGUAGGCGUCAGAGUAGAAAACCUUCAGCUUAACUGGAGAACUGCCAUUGAUACUGUUAGUCUUGAGUACGGUCAAGGUAGGCGGAAUGUGUAAUGUAGCGGUGAAAUGCUUAGAUAUUACACAGAACACCGAUUGCGAAGGCAGCUGACUGGGCCAUUACUGACGCUGAUGCACGAAAGCGUGGGGAGCGAACAGGAUUAGAUACCCCGGUAGUC